GAGCACGUAGGCGGCCUGGUAAGUCAGAUGUGAAAGCCCGGGGCUUAACCCCGGAAGUGCAUUUGAUACUGUCAGGCUUGAGUAUGGGAGAGGGAAGUGGAAUUCCUGGUGUAGAGGUGAAAUUCGUAGAUAUCAGGAGGAACACCGGUGGCGAAGGCGACUUCCUGGACCAAUACUGACGCUGAGGUGCGAAGGCGUGGGUAGCAAACAGGAUUAGAUACCCUGGUAG
rnacentral:rRNA from 1 species